CCUACGGGAGGCAGCAGUGGGGAAUAUUGCACAAUGGGGGAAACCCUGAUGCAGCGACGCCGCGUGAGUGAAGAAGUAAUUCGUUAUGUAAAGCUCUAUCAGCAGGGAAGAAAAUGACGGUACCUGAGUAAGAAGCUCCGGCUAACUACGUGCCAGCAGCCGCGGUAAUACGUAGGGGGCAAGCGUUAUCCGGAUUUACUGGGUGUAAAGGGGGCGUAGACGGCAGUGCAAGUCUGGAGUGAAAGGCGGGGGCUCAACCCCCGGACUGCUCUGGAAACUGUACGGCUGGAGUGCAGGAGAGGUAAGUGGAAUUCCUAGUGUAGCGGUGAAAUGCGUAGAUAUUAGGAGGAACACCAGUGGCGAAGGCGGUUUACUGGACUGUAACUGACGUUGAGGCUCGAAAGCGUGGGGAGCAAACAGGAUUAGAUACCCCGGUAGUC
rnacentral:rRNA from 1 species